AUUGAACGCUGGCGGCAGGCCUAACACAUGCAAGUCGAGCGGAGUGAUGGUGCUUGCACUAUCACUUAGCGGCGGACGGGUGAGUAAUGCUUAGGAAUCUGCCUAUUAGUGGGGGACAACAUCCCGAAAGGGAUGCUAAUACCGCAUACGUCCUACGGGAGAAAGCAGGGGAUCACUUGUGACCUUGCGCUAAUCGAUGAGCCUAAGUCGGAUUAGCUUGUUGGUGGGGUAAAGGCCUACCAAGGCGCAGAUCUGUAGCGGGUCUGAGAGGAUGAUCCGCCCCCCUGGGACUGAGACACGGCCCAGACUCCUACGGGAGGCAGCCGUGGGGAAUAUUGGACAAUGGGGGGAACCCUGAUCCAGCCAUGCCGCGUGUGUGAAGAAGGCCUUAUGGUUGUAAAGCACUUUAAGCGAGGAGGAGGCUCUUUUGGUUAAUACCCAAGAUGAGUGGACGUUACUCACAGAAUAAGCACCGGCUAACUCUGUGCCAGCCGCCGCCGUAAUAC
rnacentral:rRNA from 1 species